rnacentral:lncRNA from 1 species
CCCAUAGUUACUCGGUUGAAGUUAAAGAUUUAACAAUAUACCUUUUUGAGUAAGUAAUACAAAACAUUGAGAACAAACAAAUCAUUCUUCAACUUCUCCCCAAUAGUAUAAGAAUGAAACACUUUAUUGCAAAAAGUAUGGAUAAAUUAGCUUACCUUGGAGCAUGAGAAAUCCCAACAGCUCCAAGCUCAUGUUAGUUCUUUGGAAUGCUUCUUUCACCCUUAAAUACCUAAAAUUAUUUGGUAAAUGUGACAUCAAAAUUAAUGGGCUAAAAAAUAAUAGCAAAAUAUUAUUGCAAUUUAAGUAAUCAUACCUUGAUUAACCAUAUUACUUCAUAUUCUCAAGCUUUCUUUUGGCUAUCAAUUAUAUAUAACCAGAAUGAGAACAUUAGAGCCCCUAAAUGACAGUGUAAUUAAUAUGGUAGAGAUAAAAUAUUGUCAGAAAUAGGGUUUUCGUAAGCUAAUAAUUUUACAGAGACGACGACAACAACAACAACCUAGUAUAAUCUCACUUAGUGGGGUCUGGGGAGGGUAGUGUGUACGCAAACCUUACCUCUACCCUGGGGGUAGAGAGGUUGUUUCCAAAUAGACCCCGCAUCCUUCCCUCCAAGAACUUCUCACCUUGCUCUUAGGGAGACUCGAACUCACAACCUCUCGGUUAGAAGUGGGGGUUGCUUACCAUCAUAGCAACCCCUCCUGUCUUAAUUUUACAGAGAUGAAUUAUGUAUAAAAUACCUUUAAAAGAUGAAGGAGGUCAUCUUGAGGAAGAGGAAAUGUGGAUGGACUUUACACUUUUAAAAUCACUGAAAUGAAAUUAAGAAUGUUGUAAGGAUUGAUAGUGAUCUGCAUCUUCUUUACUGCCAUGUUGAAUCCACUACGAACAUCCUUGUCUAGAAACA